CGAGGCCGAGUUAUCACUUGGUUUAAAAGAAGGUUGCCAAUAGCCAUAAUCAGUUUGAUAUGAUACUUUGUGUGUGAUGCGAUACUGGGCUUGUAAACUGAAGUAAACAAUGGCCUUACCGUCGUCGACCCGUGUGGUGCGAGGAGGGCGAGCGUUAGAGACCAUAUACUGGCACGUGACUUCAGGGAAGGCUGGAGUUAAACUGGUGAAGCACGGGAAAACACUCAAGUUCCCGAAGAAAAUGGUCCCUAAAGAACCUAAUGUGGCCGAGCAAGCGUUCAAGAAACUCAACUCCAGGCUUUAACUACAUGUGCGGGUCUCUGUUCCCAUUAUCCUCUGCGGAAUGGACCCAGGAUAGUCAGGGUCAGAUAGUGGAAUUCAGGUGGUUUUGUCAAGCGGUCAAUUAAAAUUCUCUGUGAUAUUUAUGUGUAUAUAAGUGUAAAUAUUACCCAUUUGUUUCUUUUAUAUUUAUGUAUAUUUCUGUAACACUCAAUUUAAUAAAGCAUUAAUUUACUAUACUA